GUCCCGAUAGGGUAGUGGACAUCCUAGAGGCCUGCGGAGCCUCAGACCCGGGUUCGAAUCCCGGUCGGGACG
rnacentral:tRNA from 3 species